UACAUGUGGGGCAAGCGUUGUUCGGAAUCACUGGGCGUAAAGGGUGCGUAGGCCGCACGGUAAGUCAGAGGUGAAAUCCCGGAGCUCAACUUCGGAAUUGCCUCCGAUACUGCCGUGCUUGAGGACUGGAGAGGAGAUUGGAAUUCACAGUGGAGCAGUGAAAUGCGUAGAUAUUGUGAGGAACACUAGUGGCGAAGGCGAAUCUCUGGACAGUUCCUGACGCUGAGGCACGAAGGCCAGGGGAGCAAACGGG
rnacentral:rRNA from 1 species